CCAGCCGCCGACAACGUCUUUCGGCAUGUUUAUCUUUUCAUCGCUUACUUUACGCUCUUAAUUUAGUGGCGGAAAAGUUGGAUCGUGGGAGCUUUUUCUGCCGCUGUUGACGCCGACUGCGCAAGAUUCGAGCCCAUACUAUUAUCUUUUGCGGUGAAUAAAGACGGCGGUAUCGGGAUUUCUUGAAAUGAAGCCCGGAGACAGCCAGCUGGUCGAAGCUGUUCGUAAGCGGGAGGCACUUUGGAAUGUGCGGCAGGCAGCAUAUCACCAGCGCAAGCACAAGCUGCGGCUAUGGGCGGAGGUGGCGGCAGAGACCGGACGAAAUGUUGCUGAUGUAAAGUCAAGAUGGAAGUCCAUCCGGGACUAUUUUAUGAAGUGUCGGCAGGCCCCGCCGAGCGGCUCUGCUGCCAGCUCGACCACCGACGGCGCCACGCAGAGGGAGCUGAGUUUCCUCAAUGAUUCUGUCAAGCCAAAGCCGAGAACCCUGACAUAGAAGAAGAACACUCUGGUGAUCCAUGGCUCGUAUUCUCGGAAGUGGACGACGAGUGGGAGCAGGACUCCGCACCCCGCGCGCCGGCUGGCCCGCAGAGGGCCUCUACACCUCGGGAGCCAUCUGCUGAUCGCCCGCAGCAGGCCUCCGCACCCCGCACGCCGCCUGCUGAUCGCGCGCAGGAGGCCUCUGCUCCUCGGGCGCCGACCGCUGGUCGCCCGCAGCAGGCCUCCGCACCCCGCACGCCGCCUGCUGAUCGCGCGCAGGAGGCCUCUGCUCCUCGGGAGCCGACCGCUGACCGACCAGAGCAGGGCGAAGUCCAGCCCCAGAGGCCUCGCCGGCGUGCCCGUCGGGUGGCUGCCGACGAAGGGACCAGGGAGAUCCUGCAGCGGGCGAUUGAGCAGGUGCAGCAAGCCGUCGAGAGGCUAGAGGACGAUGAUGCCAUCUUUGGACAUUUGGUGGGUCAGGAUAUCAGGCAAGUGGCAACUAGAAAGAAGUCCCUUCUUAAAAUCCAAAUCAUGCAGCUGAUCCACGCUGCGGCAUAUGAGGAAUAAGUUAGUGAUAUCCAGUCCUGCAACAGCUACAGGGCACGGCAUUUGUUUUGCUUUAAAUCAAUGCUGUUUUUAAUGUGUUAUAGAAUCGCUAGGCUUAUGUUUGAUAAUGUUAGCAAGCGCUUUUCUCAGGCUCAUUGUUAAUAAGAUAAUGAUAAGAAUCAGUAGCCUUAUAAUAAAGCUCAAUGUAUUGCCGAAUAUAAUUAAACCAGAAUGAGACGACAGUUUCGGGCGUAGCCCAUUAUCAAGUCUGACAAUUCCGGAUUUGAAAUUUGAAAUUUCAAAUCCGAAGUCUACAUUUGAAAUUUGAAAUUUCAAAUCCGGAAUUGUCAGACUUGAUAAUGGGCUACGCCCGAAACUGUCGUCUCAUUCUGGUUUAAUUAUAUUCGGCAAUACAUUGAACUUUAUUAUAAGGCUACGGCUUUUCAUCAUUAUCUUAGGUUAUAGAAUCGCCGUAAUUAUUUAUUUGCACAUCAAUUUUGUACUCGUGUUGAUUCCAAUUCAUUACCGUUCAAAUUCAUUACACGCAUUGUGGUUGUAUCUGAUCACGAGUGGUUGUAUCUGAUUAUUUUUUGUUGCAUAUUUCGUCACAGCGGCCAGGAGAACCGUGCUGAACGUGUGUUUGUAAUUGAAAUAUUCGCUGCCGGUGUUGGCUGGCGCCUGCAGGACGACAUGUUUUCCAUCGAGAGCUGCCACACAGUUUGGGAAGUUCCAACGGUCUCGGAAGGUGGCCUCGCUCCUCUCCCAGGUGUGGCGAGUAGGGGAGGCCAACACCUCCGGACCGACGGCGGCGAUGAUCGCGGCACACGUGUCGUAGACUAUGGCGCGGACCGUCUUCUCUCCCAGGCGGUACGUGGGAGCCAGAGCCGAAAACUCCAUCCCUGACGCCAGAUACCGAAGGGUAACGGCCAGGCGCUGCGCGGGGUCGAUGGGCUCUCUGAAGUUGGUGUGUUUUCUGGCGAUGGUUGGCCCGAUCUUGCUAAGAAGGAGAUCGAAAGUGUCGCGGGUCAUCCGGAAGUAGGUGCGGUGCCGCUCAGGGUCGUUGGUACGCAACUCUUGUACGAGGUUGAAGAAUUCCCCCCGAGCUCGGCGGCGGCGGUUCACGUCAGCGACCCAGCUCUUGUGCCGACGUUUCGGACGGCACUCCUCGUCAUACUCCAUCAUUAAUAGCUCGGCUUGGGCCAAACUUAAGCCGACGUCCAUUCUCGAUAUAUAAAGUAUAGAAGCAAUAACAAGAAGAUAUAUAAAGUAUAAAAGCAAUAACAAGAAAAGGUACUACCUGAGAUGUUUUGUUUACAUUUGUUUUCCUGACGGCGGUAUUUGCUUCGUAACCCAAGAGUAUUAAGAAAAAAUGUCGCGUGCUUAUUUUCGAAGGAUUUUAUUUGUUAAUCUAUUGCAUCAUGGUUAACCUGCUAAAACAUUUUUUUAUACUUUUAUUUUUUAUUUUCCUACAGAAUUACCAUCAUUCUAUGACUUCAGGUGGCUUGCACACCCUAUAAUAACAAAACACUUGAUACUAACAUAAGCGCGUACUUUCAGCACCUCUGCCGAUGCUUUUUGUGCAGUGGACGGCGUCAUUUUAGGAAACGCCGAAAAUUCGCGCUUAUCGACGAUUACGCGCUUACUUUCGGCGGAUGCCAAUGUGCAGUGGACGGCGACCUUAAGCGUAUUAAAAACUGUCUUUAUUUACCGAAAAUCAACAUCUUCA